GACAGAGGGUGCAAACGUUGUUCGGAAUUACUGGGCGUAAAGCGCGUGUAGGCGGCUAAGUAAGUCGGGCGUGAAAUCCCACGGCUCAACCGUGGAAGUGCACUCGAAACUGCAUAGCUAGAGUCCUGGAGAGGAAGGUGGAAUGCUUGGUGUAGAGGUGAAAUUCGUAGAUAUCAAGCGGAACACCGGUGGCGAAGGCGGCCUUCUGGACAGUGACUGACGCUGAGGAGCGAAAGCGUGGGGAGCGAACAGG
rnacentral:rRNA from 1 species